rnacentral:rRNA from 1 species
ACGUAGGUGGCGAGCGUUAUCCGGAAUUAUUGGGCGUAAAGAGGGAGCAGGCGGCGGCAGAGGUCUGUGGUGAAAGACUGAAGCUUAACUUCAGUAAGCCAUAGAAACCGGGCUGCUAGAGUGCAGGAGAGGAUCGUGGAAUUCCAUGUGUAGCGGUGAAAUGCGUAGAUAUAUGGAGGAACACCAGUGGCGAAGGCGACGGUCUGGCCUGUAACUGACGCUCAUUCCCGAAAGCGUGGGGAGCAAAUAG